GCCUGGGUGGCUCAGUCGGUUGAGCGUCCGACUUCGGCUCGGGUCAUGAUCUCACCCUCCGUGAGUUCGAGCCCCGCGUCGGGCU
rfam:Felis catus isolate Cinnamon breed Abyssinian chromosome A2, whole genome shotgun sequence.